UCCGGUUUGUCACCGGCAGUCCCAUUAGAGUGCCCAACUUAAUGUGGCAACUAAUGGCAAGGGUUGCGCUCGUUGCGGGACUUAACCCAACAUCUCACGACACGAGCUGACGACAGCCAUGCAGCACCUGUGUUCAGGCUCCCUUUCGGGCACACCCGCCUCUCGGCGGGCUUCCUGACAUGUCAAGGGUAGGUAAGGUUCUUCGCGUUGCAUCGAAUUAAUCCACAUCAUCCACCGCUUGUGCGGGUCCCCGUCAAUUCCUUUGAGUUUUAACCUUGCGGCCGUACUCCCCAGGCGGGAUGCUUAAUGCGUUAGCUGCGCCACCAACAGGCAAGCCUGCUGACGGCUAGCACUCAUCGUUUACGGCGUGGACUAC
rnacentral:misc_RNA from 1 species